CCAACAUGGUAGGCCUCUGGCGGCGGUGGCGACAGAGGCCUGCGCGCUCGGCGACUCCAUUUUCCUUCCUUUGUCUCUACCCUCGAGGCCGGCUUUUGGCCCGGCUGAUCUUCGGGCCACGGCCCGCCCUCUGCCCCUCCCGCGACGGAUACCCCUUACCGAGUCUGGACCCUCUGAGGCUCGGUUGCCGCCGCUUGCUUCGCCUAGGGGUUCUGAACCCUCGGCCGGCCGCUUAGCCAGGUCCCGGAACCGUGUGGGUGUCGGGUCCCGACCGACGCGCCUCAGACUCCCCAUCUUCAAGUCCAGCCGGUCCCGGAACCUACCCGAUCUCCCUGCGUUGCUUCUCCAGCAGCUGGGGUGCUCUCUAGUCUCUCGUAGUCCGAUCGUCCCCGCUGCCGGUCUCCGUCGCCGCCGAGUGUCGCAGGCGGCGCUGCUGUGGCUGCGAGCAGAGGGGACCCCUGAGCUGCCGAGAGCUCCCUCUGCAAGGCUGGCUGAGCUGCUCGCGCCUCGACGCCGCCCGAGCGGGCGGGGGAACGCGCGCUCGCCGCCCCCGCCGGGCCCCGCUGCGCCCCCAAACUCACGCCAGGGCAUCGCGCGGGACCCGACCGGUGCGGCCCCCAAUGGUGCGCGGAAAAAGACACGAAUUCCUGCACCAAAGUAGUUUUUCUCCAGCUGUAUUCGCACUCUUUCAGCCCCUUGAAACGAUAGCAGUCAGACUUGGUGCGCUCAGAAAUCUCAAAAGGGACUGAAACUUAAUUUCACUCUCAUCUCAAGUGAUGUGAUAAACUCAUAAAUUCGGGAGCAUGGGCUGGUUGCGAUGGUACAGGCGACGCUGGAGUUUGCCUCCUAUUUAAAAUGUCCUGACGCUAACUUUGCACUCCACUUAGGACCUGAUGCUCUAGGGCUAGGCUAAGACAGUUCAGCCCCUCUCUAGAGAUCGUGCAAACCGAUCUAAUGCGCCAAUAGGGUAGAAUGAACUUAUUCAUGACUGGACUGGUAAUUUGACUGUUGGAUGAAAUGUGAGGGUUGAUGUUGUAAUUGGAUCCUGGGUCACUUGCAGCAGAUGGUUUAUAAAUUUCUGUGCCUAAUGUAACUACUCUUUAGUAUCUGACUUCCUGUAUUGAGUUUAGCAUUAAGUAAACAUUAGCAAAGAGACUUAAUACUUUUUUGGAGUUUAGAUCAACUAAGAAAGCUAAAAUUCCAAGGCAUCCAUAGGCAGGAAAAGAAAUUAAACAGGGUAUUUAUCCUGGCAUUAAGUCUUUUGCAUUUAAAAGCUUCCUUUGAUAAACUGCUGGAGUAACCUUUUCGUACCCACUCUAACACGGAUUUUCUUUUUUUUUUUUUGGUUUUUCGAGACAGGGUUUCUCUGUAUAGCCCUGGCUGCCUUGGAGCUCACUUUGUAGACCAGGCUGGCCUCGAACUCAGAAUCCGCCUGCCUCUGCCUCCCGAGUGCUGGGAUAAAAGCCUUUCCCCACCACGCUUAACACGGAUUUUCUUACCAAUUAGCCACUGAUGUGUGGCUUAGGUUCUUAAGAAAAAAAUCUAGGUUGACAUUUUCAGAAAGAAAAGAUAAUGAGGUGCUUUAACACACCAACACACACACACAAACACACUGUCUCUCUAGCUCUGGCUGUCCUUGGAGCUCUGCAGACCAGGCUGGCCUCAAACUCAGAUUCACCUGCUUCUCUCUCUGUCUUCCUAGCCCUGUGGUUAAAGAUGUGCUCCAACGACGCACUCGCUUCCAUCAUCUUGAUGCUAAGAAAGAUUGUGUUGUUUACUGUGUGUGAUUUCAGUUUGGAGGUUUUAGCAACCCACAUUGUAUGCAACUCUUUGAACACUCCCCAACCUUUCUGCCCUCCAUAAAUGAACCCAGGAUUCUCUGGCUGGUUAGGCCACACUAGCCACACAUUGAAAUCCUAUGAAACUGCUUUCGUGAUGCUUGGGCAUGCUAUGCAAGUGUUCGGCCUGUGCACUGUGUUCUUAGUCAUUUCAGCAGCACCUCAUUCCUUUUUUAAUUCUCCAGAAUGUCCUUCCUCACCUUCUCUCUUUAGUAGUAGUGUAGAGUGCCAGCCUUGUAGAACUUUGUUUUUAAAAUGUAUUAAGCCAAACUAUGUAAUUUAUUAUAUUCUUAGAGUUUUACUGUCAAGUUUGUGUUUGACAAGUGCCAUAUUUUGUUUAUGAAAAGAAGCUGCACAAGUUCCCAAUGGUAGUGAAUGACAGUGCUUCAGAAGUAGAGGCAGGAGCAUAGGAGUUCAAGGUUAUCCUUGGCUUUGUAGCAAAUAUAAGGCAACCCUUUGCUGCAUGAGACUGCCUUAGCAGAUUGAGUGGUUGGGAUUUGUUUUUGUAGCACUGGGGUUUGAACUCAGUGCCCUGGGUAAGCCAGGCAAGUGCUCUCUGAGCUAUUUCUUUAGCCCCUUUCUAGUUUUGAGGUAAAGUCUCUUUAAGUUGCCUAGGUUGGCCUUGAAUUUACUGUGUAGCUUAGGUAGGCCUCCCACUUUCAAUCCUCCUAAUUCCGAAAUACCUGGGAUUACAAGCUUGAAUCCAGAUACAUUUAAAGUUAGGGUGGGUCAGGAUUGAGUGGCUAAAUUUAGUCCCCAAUACUACUGGAACAAAUAAAUAGCAAAUAUUAGCAAAGUACAAUGAUUCCUUUGAAAAUGUCAUGAAAUGUGUUGUUUUGUAUGCUUAUGAUUUUUAAAAAUGGAAAGGAAACAACUAAGUCUAUAAGGAAAAUAAAUUGGAGGAGGGGAAUUAAUGCAAG
rnacentral:lncRNA from 1 species